rnacentral:rRNA from 1 species
CCCCGUGCAUGAGUGGCGGACGGGUGAGUAACGCGUGGGCAACCUGCCCUGUACAGGGGGACAACACUUAGAAAUAGGUGCUAAUACCGCAUAACGGGGGAGCCGCAUGGCACCCCCUGAAAACUCCGGUGGUACAGGAUGGGCCCGCGUCUGAUUAGCUGGUUGGCAGGGUAACGGCCUACCAAGGCGACGAUCAGUAGCCGGCCUGAGAGGGCGGACGGCCACACUGGGACUGAGACACGGCCCAGACUCCUACGGGAGGCAGCAG